UACGAAGGGGGCUAGCGUUGCUCGGAAUUACUGGGCGUAAAGCGCACGUAGGCGGCUCUUUAAGUCGGAGGUGAAAUCCUGGAGCUCAACUCCAGAACUGCCUUCGAUACUGAAGAGCUCGAGUCCGGGAGAGGUGAGUGGAACUGCGAGUGUAGAGGUGAAAUUCGUAGAUAUUCGGAGGAACACCAGUGGCGAAGGCGGCUA
rnacentral:rRNA from 1 species